rnacentral:rRNA from 1 species
AGUAAAUAGAUACCCUGGUAGUCCACGCCGUAAACGAUGUCGACUUGGAGGUUGUGCCCUUGAGGCGUGGCUUCCGGAGCUAAACGCGUUAAGUCGACCGCCUGGGGAGUACGGCCGCAAGGUUAAAACUCAAAUGAAUUGACGGGGGCCCGCACAAGCGGUGGAGCAUGUGGUUUAAUUCGAUGCAACGCGAAGAACCUUACCUACUCUUGACAUCCAGAGAACUUAGCAGAGAUGCUUUGGUGCCUUCGGGAACUCUGAGACAGGUGCUGCAUGGCUGUCGUCAGCUCGUGUUGUGAAAUGUUGGGUUAAGUCCCGCAACGAGCGCAACCCUUAUCCUUUGUUGCCAGCGGUUAGGCCGGGAACUCAAAGGAGACUGCCAGUGAUAAACUGGAGGAAGGUGGGGAUGACGUCAAGUCAUCAUGGCCCUUACGAGUAGGGCUACACACGUGCUACAAUGGCGCAUACAAAGAGAAGCGACCUCGCGAGAGCAAGCGGACCUCAUAAAGUGCGUCGUAGUCCGG